AUUGAACGCUGGCGGCAGGCCUAACACAUGCAAGUCGAACGAGAGGCGGGAAGGUGUGUAUUGUGUGGGGAUAUGCCCGGUGGAAGGGGAUAACUACUGGAAACGGUAGCUAAUACCGCAUACUAUAGGAUGAACACAUAUGGGAGUAGCUAGUAGGUGCGGUAAUGGCUCACCUAGGGGACGAUCCCUAGCUGGUCUGAGAGGAUGAUCAGCCACACUGGGACUGAGACACGGCCCAGACUCUUACGGGAGGCAGAAGUGGGGAAUAUUGGACAAUGGGCGCAAGCCUGAUGCAGCCAUGCCGCGUGUAUGAAGAAGGCCUUCGGGUUGUAAAGGACUUUUGGCAGGGAAGCGGUACCUGAAGAAGAAGCACCGGCUAACUACGUGCCAGCAGCCGCGGUAAUUC
rnacentral:rRNA from 1 species